rnacentral:rRNA from 1 species
GAUGAACGCUGGCGGCGUGCCUAACACAUGCAAGUCGAACGGAGUCCAGCCUUUAAGACCUUCGGGUCAAAGAGGGGAAGACUGAGUGGCGGACGGGUGAGUAACACGUGGGCAACCUGGCUCAUAGAGGGGGAUAACAGAGAGAAAUUUCUGCUAAUACCGCAUAAGCACACACUGCCGCAUGGCAGAGGGUGAAAAGAGAAUCGCUAUGAGAUGGACCCGCGUCUGAUUAGCCAGUUGGCAGGGUAAGAGCCUACCAAAGCGACGAUCAGUAGCCGAUCUGAGAGGAUGAACGGCCGCAUUGGGACUGAGACACGGCCCAAACUCCUACGGGAGGCAGCAGUGGGGGAUAUUGCACAAUGGGGGGAACCCUGAUGCAGCGACGCCGCGUGAGUGAAGAAGUAUUUCGGGAUGUAAAGCUCUAUCAGCAGGGAAGAUAAUGACAGUACCUGAAUAAGAAGCCCCGGCUAACUACGUG